rnacentral:rRNA from 1 species
UACGUAGGUGGCAAGCGUUGUCCGGAUUUAUUGGGCGUAAAGCGCGCGCAGGCGGUGCGGUAAGGCUGCCGUGAAAUCGCCCGGCUCAACUGGGCGGGUGCGGUGGCGACUGCCGGACUGGAGGGACUCAGAGGCCGGUGGAAUUCCCGGUGUAGUGGUGAAAUGCGUAGAGAUCGGGAGGAACACCAGUGGCGAAGGCGGCCGGCUGGGGGUGCCCUGACGCUGAGGCGCGAAAGCUAGGGGAGCAAACAGG